GUUUCUUUUUCUCUUCGUGCAGAAGCAGCAGCAAAGCUGCUGUUCUUGUUUUUUCCUCUCCUUUGCCCUCCUAACCUCCAACCAUCAUAUCUUUUUCAUUCGGACAACGAUUUCGACUAAUCUUAUAUCAAAAUUCAUGCCGUAGUCGCGCCCAAACACUUUUGUCACCUUUGAAUCUCUGAACAACCACUGCACCAGGCAGAUUGAAGGCGAGGAAAUAAGUCACCUUCGCCGGAAAAUUCGAUUUUCUGGCCAAACCGACGGGAAAAUGGGUCUCGGACCAACAGAUAAAGUUGAUCCUCUCCUCACGGGAUUUCUACCUAUACUCGAUUUGUUGACUGGACGAGGAAUCGAAGCUCAGCUGCAAGUUAGGACAUGAAUACGGACGAUUUGGGUAAAAUACUAAAAACCCUAAACCCUUUUAUUUUGGGUUUAAGAACUAGGUUUAGUAAAUGGUGUACUUUGCUGUGUUGUUGUGAAAUUAAGUAAUUCUUAGAA